GGAUCCAGACUUUGAUUCUGGCUCAGGAUGAACGCUAGCUACAGGCUUAACACAUGCAAGUCGAGGGGAAACGACAUCGAAAGCUUGCUUUUGAUGGGUGUCGACCGGCGCACGGGUGAGUAACGCGUAUCCAACCUGCCCAUCACUUGGGAAUAACCUUGCGAAAGUAUGACUAAUACCCAAUGAUAUCCCACGAAGGCAUCCGAAUGGGAUUAAAGAUUUAUCGGUGAUGGAUGGGGAUGCGUCUGAUUAGCUUGUUGGCGGGGUAACGGCCCACCAAGGCAACGAUCAGUAGGGGUUCUGAGAGGAAGGUCCCCCACAUUGGAACUGAGACACGGUCCAAACUCCUACGGGAGGCAGCAGUGAGGAAUAUUGGUCAAUGGGCGAGAGCCUGAACCAGCCAAGUAGCGUGCAGGACGACGGCCCUAUGGGUUGUAAACUGCUUUUAUAAGGGAAUAAAGUGAGUCUCGUGAGACUUUUUGCAUGUACCUUAUGAAUAAGGACCGGCUAAUUCCGUGCCAGCAGCCGCGGUAAUACGGAAGGUCCGGGCGUUAUCCGGAUUUAUUGGGUUUAAAGGGAGCGUAGGCCGGAGAUUAAGCGUGUUGUGAAAUGUAGAGGCUCAGCCUCUGCACUGCAGCGCGAACUGGUCUUCUUGAGUACGCACAACGUGGGCGGAAUUCGUGGUGUAGCGGUGAAAUGCUUAGAUAUCACGAAGAACUCCGAUUGCGAAGGCAGCUCACGGGAGCGCAACUGACGCUGAAGCUCGAAAGUGCGGGUAUCGAACAGGAUUAGAUACCCUGGUAGUCCGCACGGUAAACGAUGGAUGCCCGCUGUUGGCCUGAAUAGGUCAGCGGCCAAGCGAAAGCAUUAAGCAUCCCACCUGGGGAGUACGCCGGCAACGGUGCAA
rnacentral:rRNA from 1 species